rnacentral:rRNA from 1 species
UCCGGUUGAUCCUGCCAGAGGUUACUGCUAUCGAGGUUCGACUAAGCCAUGCGAGUCGAAUGUAGCAAUACAUGGCGAACUGCUCAGUAACACGUGGACAACCUGCCCUUAGGACGGGGAUAAACCCGGGAAACUGGGUAUAAUACCCGAUAGGUCUCGAUUGCUGGAAUGCAUCGAGAUUUAAAGCUCCGGCGCCUAAGGAUGGGUCUGCGGCCUAUCAGGUAGUAGUGGGUGUAGCGUACCUACUAGCCUACGACGGGUACGGGUUGUGAGAGCAAGAGCCCGGAGAUGGAUUCUGAGACACGAAUCCAGGCCCUACGGGGUGCAGCAGGCGCGAAAACUUUACAAUGCUGGCAACAGCGAUAAGGGGAACCUCGAGUGCCAGGUUACAAAUCUGGCUGUCGAGAUGCCUAAAAAGCAUUUCAUAGCAAGGGCCGGGCAAGACCGGUGCCAGCCGCCGCGGUAACACCGGCGGCUCGAGUGGUAACCGUUAUUAUUGGGUCUAAAGGGUCUGUAGCCGGCCGGAUAAGUCUCUUGAGAAAUCUGGCAGCUUAACUGUCAGGCUUUCAGGAGAUACUGUCUGGCUCGAGGCCGGGAGAGGUGAGAGGUACUUCAGGGGUAAGGGGUUGAAAUCUUGUAAUCCUUGAAGGACCACCAGUGGCGAAGGCGUCUCACCAGAACGGACCUGACGGCAAGGGACGAAAGCUAGGGGCACGAACCGGAUUAGAUACCCGGGUAGUCCUAGCCGUAAACGAUACUCGCUAGGUGUCGGCCACGGUGCGACCGUUGUCGGUGCCGUAGGGAAGCCGUGAAGCGAGCCACCUGGGAAGUACGGCCGCAAGGCUGAAACUUAAAGGAAUUGGCGGGGGAGCACCACAACGGGUGGAGCUUGCGGUUUAAUUGGAUUCAACGCCGGAAAUCUUACCGGGACCGACAGCAAUAUGAAGGCCAGGCUGAAGACUUUGCCGGAUUAGCUGAGAGGUGGUGCAUGGCCGUCGUCAGUUCGUACUGUGAAGCAUCCUGUUAAGUCAGGUAACGAGCGAGACCC